UCGGGAAUUUUGGGCAAUGGGCGAAAGCCUGACCCAGCAACGCCGCGUGAAGGAUGAAGUAUUUCGGUAUGUAAACUUCGAAAGAAUAGGAAGAAUAAAUGACGGUACUAUUUAUAAGGUCCGGCUAACUACGUGCCAGCAGCCGCGGUAAUACGUAGGGACCAAGCGUUGUUCGGAUUUACUGGGCGUAAAGGGCGCGUAGGCGGCAAUUCAAGUCAUCUGUGAAAUCUCCGGGCUUAACUCGGAACGGUCAGAUGAUACUGCUUUGCUAGAGUGCAGAAGGGGCAAUCGGAAUUCUUGGUGUAGCGGUGAAAUGCGUAGAUAUCAAGAGGAACACCUGAGGUGAAGACGGGUUGCUGGGCUGACACUGACGCUGAGGCGCGAAAGCUAGGGUAGCGAAGAGGAUUAGAUACCCAUGUAGUCCCUGAGCGGGCUGGCAAGGCGCAU
rnacentral:rRNA from 1 species